GCCUUCGUAGUGUAGUGUCAGCACGCUCGGCGCGUAUUCAAGAGGUCAGUGGUUCGAGUCCAAGCGAGGGCA
rnacentral:tRNA from 1 species